CAGUCGCCGCGGUAAUACGUAGGUCCCGAGCGUUGUCCGGAUUUAUUGGGCGUAAAGCGAGCGCAGGCGGUUAGAUAAGUCUGAAGUUAAAGGCUGUGGCUUAACCAUAGUAUGCUUUGGAAACUGUUUAUCUUGAGUGCAGAAGGGGAGAGUGGAAUUCCAUGUGUAGCGGUGAAAUGCGUAGACAUAUGGAGGAACACCGGUGGCGAAAGCGGCUCUCUGGUCUGUAACUGACGCUGAGGCUCGAAAGCGUGGGGAGCGAACAGGAUUAGAUACCCCCGUAGUCCCUGUCUCUUAUACA
rnacentral:rRNA from 1 species